rnacentral:rRNA from 1 species
AUUGAACGCUGGCGGCAUGCCUUACACAUGCAAGUCGAACGGCAGCACGGGGGGCAACCCUGGUGGCGAGUGGCGAACGGGUGAGUAACAUAUCGGAACGUGCCCUGGAGUGGGGGAUAACUAGUCGAAAGACUAGCUAAUACCGCAUACGAUCUACGGAUGAAAGUGGGGGAUCGCAAGACCUCAUGCUCGUGGAGCGGCCGAUAUCUGAUUAGCAGUUGGUGGGGUAAAGGCCUACCAAGGCAUCGAUCAGUAGCUGGUCUGAGAGGACGACCAGCCACACUGGGACUGAGACACGGCCCAGACUCCUACGGGAGGCAGCAGUGGGGAAUUUUGGACAAUGGGCGCAAGCCUGAUCCAGCAAUGCCGCGUGAGUGAAGAAGG